rnacentral:rRNA from 1 species
ACGAACGCUGGCGGCGUGCUUAACACAUGCAAGUCGAACGGAAAGGCCCUGCUUGCAGGGUACUCGAGUGGCGAACGGGUGAGUAACACGUGGGUGAUCUGCCCUGCACUUCGGGAUAAGCCUGGGAAACUGGGUCUAAUACCGGAUAGGAGCCAUUUUUAGUGUGAUGGUUGGAAAGUUUUUUCGGUGUAGGAUGAGCUCGCGGCCUAUCAGCUUGUUGGUGGGGUAAUGGCCUACCAAGGCGGCGACGGGUAGCCGGCCUGAGAGGGUGGACGGCCACAUUGGGACUGAGAUACGGCCCAGACUCCUACGGGAGGCAGCAGUGGGGAAUAUUGCACAAUGGGCGCAAGCCUGAUGAAGCGACGCCGCGUGGGGGAUGACGGCCUUCGGGUUGUAAACUCCUUUCGCUAGGGACGAAGCUUUUUGUGACGGUACCUAGAGAAGAAGCACCGGCUAACUACGUG